AUCUCGCGUCGGUCAAGCUCUAUUGUACGCGCGCGUGCCCCAGCCACCCCGCCCGGAUCGGGAGGAUUAGGGUUCAGCGCCAGCUGCUGCUGCCUACCAUAGCACAUGCGCGCGCGCCCCGGCCACCCCGCCUGCUCUCGAAUCGGGAUGAUUAGGGUCUGACGCUAGCUGCUGCUGCCUACCGUCGGUCUCUCCGCGGCGGCGGAGAAGGAAAAGGGAGAUGGAGGGGCUCCUGUAGAAGCUGAAGGGGCUCGACGCCUACCCCAAGGUCAAUGAGGACUUCUACAAGCGCACGCUCUCUAGCGGCAUCGCCAGGCUCGUCUCUGCCCUCAUCAUGCUACUCAUCUUCGUCUCUGAAACAAAAACCUGAAGAUACAAGAGGAUAACUGACGAACACUGUAGCAACAUUUCGUCAGUUAUCCGACGAUGGAGGUGCGAGAGCAUUGAUGAAGAUGGAUGGUUCAGAUGCUGAGUAACUGGAGUACGAGAACCAAUGUAAUUCAAAUUGUAUUGUGUUGAGUGUACUUCAUUUCACCCACUGUAAUUUGCGGCAGCUUAUAAGCGGAGACCUCGCUGAAGGGAAAGUAGGAAGGAAAGAACAUUUAGCAUAUCUGUAGUUAGUCUAGCUUUCGUCUUCCUCUUGUAUCAGACCAAAUCAGGGUCUUUGAGUAAAUUUCGACCACAAAUUCAUGAGGAACUCAACUUCUGUGUCGAAAUUAGCUUAA